UGAGGACACGAGUCAUCUGAAGAUCAUCCUGGUACCUGGAAUCUCAAGUGCCAGGCAAGUUGUGCCCUUGAUCACUUCUUUUUACCCACUCAUGUUCUAAUUAAUCAUAAUGAUCUGCAUAGGUUAAUUUUGAUGGGACCUAAUAGGUUACCCUAGUUUUGACUAUCUUUAUACCUUGUUUACCACUGAACUUUUUGGGUAGUACUUGCUAGUGCUUUAUGUGGUUUUGGGUAUGAAGAUACAUUAAUUAUGAUUACACUUUUAUUAUCUGUUUAUUAUCACUGUUCAUGAUAAGAUCAUUAUGUUAAUUGGAACAUGGAGAACCACCCGGGAAAACAGUGCUACCACAAGGGUUUAAUGGGACGCCCUUGGCCGAUUAAUUAGGAAAGCUAGUGGAAGACUACCUUACCCGAAAGGGGCAAGGGCAGUAGGGGAGUGGUCAGUGUAGGGAGGCCCUCGGGAGGAUUUUGCUGUGAUGGCGGUCCUGCAAGGGAUUCCUGGGAAGGCCCUCGGGAGGAUUUUGCUGUGAUGGCGGUCCUGCAAGGGAUUCCUGGGGAGGCCCUCGGGAGGAUUUUGCUGUGAUGGCGGUCCUGCAAGGGAUUCCUGCAUUGGAGCUUCCUAUAAACUGUAGCGGGUUUUCUGAAGCUAGUGGAACUUUGUAAAGGCCUCGUAGUGUUACCCUGCCUCGCCUCCUCGGUAGAGGUGUAUGGGAAGUCGCGAUCCCUUGGCAGAUGGGUAACAUGACUUGUGGGUAAAGAUGCGCAACCUCUGCAGAGUGUAAAACUGGUAUACUAGCCGUGCUCACGGUCAUGAGCAGCUCGGACACUCACAUGAUUAAUUUAUGGAACUUAAAUUCAAUUUGUCAUAUGCAUUGCAUCGCAGGUGAUGUCGUUACUUCUGUUCUACUAUUUAAUUGGGUUGGUAUUUACUUAUACUUAGUAAUUGCUAAUAAAAUUUUGACCAACUUUAAAAGCAAUGCUCAGCUCUAGCCAUCCUCUUUGGUAAGCCUUACACUUCACAUGAGCUCCCACCUUUGGCGAGUUCAUACACAUUAUUCCCCACAACUUGUUGAGCGAUGAACGUAUGUGAGCUCACUCUUGCUGUCUCACACCCCCACAGGUCAAGAACAGGUACCGCAGGAUGAGGCGCUUGGGGAUGCUGCGAUGUGUUCGUGAGAGGUCUAGGCCGUCGUCUCCCAGUCAACUUUGGGUUGCUGGACCGUUGUCUCCUUGUAAUGUAACUAUUUAUUUGUAUAGAACUCCUAUUAUAUAUAAAGUUGUGACAUUCGAUCCUGUGCCACUAUACAUCAUAUGUGUGAGACUUGGUCCCAGCAUACCUGGUGUUUAUGUUAGCGCCCGGGUUUUGGACCCCUAAAAUCCGGGUGUUACAGAAGUGGUAUCAGAGGAAUGUUGACUGUAGGACGAAACCUAGAUAGAAAUGGACAACCAUUCUUUACUUACCCUUGCUACUCUGAUUCUUUUCUAAACUUUUCUUAAUCUUUUCUCAUCUAUUUCCGCUUUACUCUGAUUAUUCUUACCUUUUCAUUCUAAAGACAAAUGUGGAUUUCACACUUUGAAAAUCCUGUGCCUAAAGUGACUUUAGGAAUAGGAGACCUACUCUUAGGAACAAAAACAAAACUAUUUUUAUAGGUAUUUGUAUGCUUGAAUGUUUGUUCUUAUGAUACUUGUUUGAUUUGGAUCUUUGAUUGAGUGUGAUUAGUUGUGGAGUAAUGUCCACAAUCACAUCUGCAUAUACAUAUAGAAAAAAACGGUUAUAAAAAUAUCUAAAUGAACUAGGUUAUCCCUCAUCAAAGAAUCUAGCCUAGCAAAAUCCAUCUUAUCUUGAAAAAGUCUAUCCUACACUCAUAGAUCCAUCUUAUCCUAAAAAAAAUAGAUUCUCAUCUUAUCUUGAAAAGAUUUAUCUUAUCCUAAUAUAUCUAUCUGACCUCAAAAAGAUUCUAUCUUAUCCUUAUGGAUUUAUCUUACCCCAAUAAGCAUAUUUAUCCCACGCUAGUGUAACAACCAUGAUCUAGCCUAAAAUAAAUAAGAUCUUAUCUAGUCAAACUAGUCACACCAAUCUAACCUAGAUCUGAUCUAAUCUAAAGUGACUUAUCAAACAUGUUAGAUAAUACUGAUGAAAUAGAUUAGACUCUACUCCUAUAGAACAGGUCUUAACUUAGUUCACCCUGCACUAAAUUAAGAAUGACAGAUCGACUUGGCCAUAUGCAACUACCUUAACCAUCCAAUAGUUGCAUAACCACACAAUUUUAACCUAGCAAGAGAUUCUAACCUACCUACACCAUACAAUCCAUCCUACUCACAUAUGUCCUAGCCAUAUGUCCUUAACUCGGAUGACAACUCCAAGAAAUAAAGGCCAAAGAAGACCAACCAUGUCAAAGAAGGAUAAGCAUCAACUCAAGACUUCAAAGAUCAAGUUGAAUCGCUAGCGGAACCAGGAUGCACAGUUCUGGAUGAAGUCUGUCCUUAUUAUACCCUUGCCAUAACCGUGCCUCAUGUGACAUAAUAGAUGGAUAGACAUACAAUAUCCAUAUAUUCCAAAUCGUCUACUAACUCUUAUAAAAAAAAAGUUGAACAAAACAUUGAUUCCCAAAACCAAAUGAGAAACUAAAAUGCUAGACCAAACUUAUUGCAUCCCUUUUUCCUACAAAUCUCGAGGACGAGAUUCUUGUUAAGGGGGUAGAAUUUGUAACACCUCAAAAUCUCAUUUUGAGAAUUAUGUAAAAUUUUCCCCUGAUGUUGAGUUAAAAUAUAUUUUUCAUAAGAAUUAUCUUACCUUUGAAACUAUACAUCCUAAAACCAUGUUUCCAGAAAAAAAAGAAAGGAGCUCAGUAAUAAUUUGUUCCUUUGAUAAAUCAUAUCUUCUAGACUUUACUCUUAAGGAUCUUUUUAAAAUUAGAACUAAAUUUCUUAAAAUACAUAUUUUGUGUGCACAUUUAAAAGCAUAAGCAUAAAUAAAUGAGAUAAGAAAUAAAUAACAUAAAAUUAUAUUUUGCAUGCGGAGGUGUUGUUAUAAUGAUGCAUAUGAAUGUGAAUCCUGAACCUAGAUUCGAAUUUGAAUUCAAAAUAAUUUCAUCAUGCUAGAAUUUUGGAUGAGCAUUUAAAACACAUAAUUGAAUUCAAGUUUGAAAACUAGAAAUGGGAAAUGGAAAUGAACAAAAAAAAACAAAACAAUUCUACCUCACCUGGGCCGAAAUUGCCCCAUGCGGCCCAUCUCCCUUGCUCCGCGCAGCCCAACCAGCCGAGCCCAUGCUCACCGCCUGGCGGGUCCCGCCUGUCAGUCGGCCUCUGCGCCCACCAAACCCGCUGUCUCUGGCGCUGGAAUGUGGGUUCCACUUUGUCAGCUCAUUCUCCUCCCUCCCAACAAAUCCGCGACGACUCUACCGCUCUGCUCCGCGCCGCCGCCGUGAAAUCAGUCGGGCGAUUCCCCUUUGAUCUGAUGCCUGCGCCGGGAUCCUGGGCUGCAUUCGCCACCCCUAUGCGCUGGUGCCUCUACUCCCUGCACCUUGCUGUCGGCUUGCACAAUCCGCGAUUCGCGCGGCCGGCUCAACAGACUCCGCAAAACGCCCGCCGCCGCCGGGAUCGGUACAACAGGGAUUGGAUGAACGACCUCGGACAUCAGGGUAUAAAUGGGAGGCCACGCUACUCUUCCCAUCGGCCAUCUAGAUACACCAAAGAUUGAGUGAGAGUGUGUGGGGGUAGCUCAUGAGCGUUCGCCGGUGAAGGAAAAGGAAGCCGCCCGUGACCGAACUCGUGCGUCGCCGUCACCAAGACCUCUAGGUGAGGCCCAGGGGCGUCGCCAGGGCUUGUGGAUGUUGGUGUGGCGUUCACGGGCGCGGUAGACCGAUCGGAGCAUGGAAUUUCACAUCGGAGUUCAUCGCCAACGCCAGGAAUCCGCCGUGCGCCAUGGACUGGGGUCUCUGCUAUACCACUGUAGGUAAUUCAUCUCCUAUUGUGUUUGGUAUCCCGUCCUCAUCACUUAGCACUAACUAGACUCGAGGUUGCGGCCUUCGGCGUUGGAUUGCGCGGCUCCGGUGUGGCUCCGCCAGGUGGAGCUCGGGCGCCGUCGUGCCCAGUCUGUCGGAGGUAGGAGAUAGGGUUUUGGAUCGUCGAUUGACCAAUGAACGACCCAGAUUGGAUCGGUACCUAACGCUUCGGCCUGGGAGAUAAUCACUGUCCGUUUUGAUCGGACGGGCGAUACUGGAUUAGCCCUCAUAAAAUCUCCACCAUAGGUCUUCGAUCGGACGGAUCGCGCUAAAUACUGAUUCGAUUAAGUAACAGUCUAAUCGAUGCCGUCCGUGGGGAAUCCAACGGAUACCUUUGGUCCAUACCCCUUCGCCUCGACAUUUAUGCUAAAGAGACCCUACGUUUUUUUAGAAAUAAACCCGCCAUCCCCGCGGGGAAGACCUGAGUCACAGGGAAUUUUAUGCGUUAGACCCCCGGGUUAUUUGUUUUAUGUGCGCAGUCCAGAGGUCAGAGAAAAAUAAUGAAGGAUUAUAGAAAUUGAUUUUUAGUAUAUAAAUAAUUCUAGAAACUUGUUUAAUCUAUAUAAAAUUCAUAUCGCGACCAAAUUAAUUCAUUCUAGUUCCUAUAAAUUACUAAUAAUGUUGUUUAUCACCUUGUAUCUCUGUUUUAAUAUGAAAAUGGUAUUAAAAUUUAUUUCUUAAUUAAUCUCGUAUCAAAUACAUAAAACCUAAGGAAAUUCGUAUCUCCUUCGUUUUAACUCCGAUUGGAUCCGUUCAAGUUGCGUUAGUCUCGUAACAACGCGUAGAUUAUUAUUACGCAAUUUAUUCUUAUGAUUGGUGUGAUGUUAAUCUUGCCUAUACCAUGUUUGUUUGUAUUGCUACGACUAGCGUGAGGACACGAGUCAUCUGAAGAUCAUCCUGGUACCUGGAAUCUCAAGUGCCAGGCAAGUUGUGCCCUUGAUCACUUCUUUUUACCCACUCAUGUUCUAAUUAAUCAUAAUGAUCUGCAUAGGUUAAUUUUGAUGGGACCUAAUAGGUUACCCUAGUUUUGACUAUCUUUAUACCUUGUUUACCACUGAACUUUUUGGGUAGUACUUGCUAGUGCUUUAUGUGGUUUUGGGUAUGAAGAUACAUUAAUUAUGAUUACACUUUUAUUAUCUGUUUAUUAUCACUGUUCAUGAUAAGAUCAUUAUGUUAAUUGGAACAUGGAGAACCACCCGGGAAAACAGUGCUACCACAAGGGUUUAAUGGGACGCCCUUGGCCGAUUAAUUAGGAAAGCUAGUGGAAGACUACCUUACCCGAAAGGGGCAAGGGCAGUAGGGGAGUGGUCAGUGUAGGGAGGCCCUCGGGAGGAUUUUGCUGUGAUGGCGGUCCUGCAAGGGAUUCCUGGGAAGGCCCUCGGGAGGAUUUUGCUGUGAUGGCGGUCCUGCAAGGGAUUCCUGGGGAGGCCCUCGGGAGGAUUUUGCUGUGAUGGCGGUCCUGCAAGGGAUUCCUGCAUUGGAGCUUCCUAUAAACUGUAGCGGGUUUUCUGAAGCUAGUGGAACUUUGUAAAGGCCUCGUAGUGUUACCCUGCCUCGCCUCCUCGGUAGAGGUGUAUGGGAAGUCGCGAUCCCUUGGCAGAUGGGUAACAUGACUUGUGGGUAAAGAUGCGCAACCUCUGCAGAGUGUAAAACUGGUAUACUAGCCGUGCUCACGGUCAUGAGCAGCUCGGACACUCACAUGAUUAAUUUAUGGAACUUAAAUUCAAUUUGUCAUAUGCAUUGCAUCGCAGGUGAUGUCGUUACUUCUGUUCUACUAUUUAAUUGGGUUGGUAUUUACUUAUACUUAGUAAUUGCUAAUAAAAUUUUGACCAACUUUAAAAGCAAUGCUCAGCUCUAGCCAUCCUCUUUGGUAAGCCUUACACUUCACAUGAGCUCCCACCUUUGGCGAGUUCAUACACAUUAUUCCCCACAACUUGUUGAGCGAUGAACGUAUGUGAGCUCACUCUUGCUGUCUCACACCCCCACAGGUCAAGAACAGGUACCGCAGGAUGAGGCGCUUGGGGAUGCUGCGAUGUGUUCGUGAGAGGUCUAGGCCGUCGUCUCCCAGUCAACUUUGGGUUGCUGGACCGUUGUCUCCUUGUAAUGUAACUAUUUAUUUGUAUAGAACUCCUAUUAUAUAUAAAGUUGUGACAUUCGAUCCUGUGCCACUAUACAUCAUAUGUGUGAGACUUGGUCCCAGCAUACCUGGUGUUUAUGUUAGCGCCCGGGUUUUGGACCCCUAAAAUCC
rnacentral:lncRNA from 1 species